GGAAUGGUGGAGAUUCGCCCCAUGCCUGGGGGGGCAGGAGUGUGCAGGAUCUCGUUGGUUGGCACGCAGGAUGGUGUGCGGCAGGCGUGCAUUGGUGUCACCUGCGGGCGAUUGGGGGAGCGGCUUGGGCAGCAUCUCCAUGAUGUUGCAUCUGGGGGGGCAUCUGCUGCACUCGGCGGCGUGGCGCUUCAGAGGGGCAUUGACGUCCUGUGGAGCCGGGCCGCUAUUUUGGAGAGUAGCAUCGGGAGGGACUAUAUUUGCAGGGAGUGGCGCAUCUUUGGGGAGGGCUUUGAGGCGGACAUUGUUGAUAUUGAAGACGCGGACGGUCUACCAGCGGCUUGGGAGUUCCUCAUCAAAU
rnacentral:lncRNA from 1 species